UACCUAGUGGUCCAGUGGCUAAGACUCUGCACUCCCAAUGCAGGGGACUUUGGUUCGAUUCCUGGUCAGGGAA
rnacentral:tRNA from 1 species